rnacentral:rRNA from 1 species
GAUGAACGCUAGCGGGAGGCUUAAUACAUGCAAGUCGAGCGGUAACUGACCGAUAGCAAUAUUGGUUAGCUAGAGCGGCGCACGGGUGAGUAACGCGUACAUAACCUACCCUAUACUGGGGGAUAGCCUUGGGAAACUGAGAUUAAUACCCCAUGGUAUUAUUUGGCCACCUGGUUGAAUAAUUAAAGUUGCGGCGGUAUAGGAUGGGUGUGCGUCUGAUUAGCUAGUUGGUAGGGUAACGGCCUACCAAGGCGACGAUCAGUAGGGGGGCGUGAGAGCGUGAUCCCCCACACGGGUACUGAGACACGGACCCGACUCCUACGGGAGGCAGCAGUAGGGAAUAUUGGUCAAUGGACGGAAGUCUGAACCAGCCAUUCCGCGUGCAGGAA